rnacentral:lncRNA from 1 species
AUAAUACAAUUACACACCUUUUUAUAUUUUAGUUAACAAUCAUUUUAAAAAUGUAAACUUUAGUUAAACUAUAAUUACAUCACUUACCCCCUCCUUACCUCCCCCCUCCCUUUGUUUGUUUGUUUGUUUCUGUUUGUGUUUUGACACUAGGUCUUUUUUUUUUCCACCUUAAUAUUUUGUUUUUAUUUUUGAAUUGACAGCCAUCAUGCCAAGUCCCCAAAGUCUAUUUCUCCAACUUGAGAUGUAUGGAGGCUUUUAGUCUCUCUGGGAUUGAGUUGUAUUGUCAAGGCAACCAGGGCUUGCCUGUUUUUAGACUUGAGACCAGUUUAGUAAUAAAUAUAUUCACCUUACCAACAAGAAAGGAAGACUGGCUGGCCUGACCCUUUAGCCCUUCCAAAAGGGACCAGAAAGGGGUGUGAGUGUGACUCUGGCAAGGACAAGCAUGAGAUAUGACUGGAAAAAGUGAAAUAAAAAAAGGAGUCUUAGGAAAUCUCUCUACACACCAGCCCACAUGACUUAAACAUAUACAAGGGUAAGGCAUCGUCAUCUACGUACCUAAACGUCAAACCAAUCUCUACCUUUUCCCUCUCCCCAAAAUACAAGAUACAAGGUGCUGCACUAAUUCCAGCAGUUAGAUGAAAACACAGGUAAGAAAAUUUUGGAUUCAAUCAUCAGAGUACCAAUUUAAAUGAUUUUUGUAAACAUUUUGAUAAAGGCCACAUGACACUUGUCAUAUCGUUCAAAUGCCUAGUGGCAGGACUCCCCAUGAGACCAAACAGGUCACACAAACCCAAUAAGACGCUGUAGAGAUACAGCCAAUGUGACUAAAUCCGAAACGGAGCACACGAAGGACCUCGUGUAUAAUACAAACCAGCUUAAUAAAUACAGGAGACAUAGGUGCCUGACUCUGGGAGAAGGUUUGGUUCCAGUGACCUGUUCAGAGUCUUCUCUGAGACUCUACUGCCACUUCCACUUGCGCAAGUCUAAUGGUGCGGCCAUGAAGUUUGUAGCCAUCCUGCCGAACUAAUGCCACGGUGCCAGGCUGCACCCCAACACCUGCUGGCAUGUGACAGAUGAGUUCAUGCUCGUGAGGGUCGUAUUUGUCACCGAUGGAUGUCAUUUUCUCAAGGCCAUGCUUGGUAAACACGCUUUUCAGUCUGGCUUCUAGCAGGGACAGCCCUUGGAAGACUUUUUCCAGAGUGCGCCUGUGGUCCUCAGGUUCCGCUCCUUCUGAACAGCACUUGGCAGUCUUCUCCAAAAUGUCUGCCACCUCCACCAGGUCCUUGCAGAAGCUCUGGAUCCCAAAUAUCUUCGCGUCUUCCACACAUCUCUGGGUUCUUCUCCUUAUGUUUUCACAAUCAGCGACAGCUCUGGUAUCUCAGGGUUAAAUCCUGGACUUCCUUUUCCAGUUUAACAGCUUUGAGCCUUAAGGCCUGCUCAGCAAGGGAGGGUCCCCGUCCAUCAGGAGGGUCCUGGAACUGCAGUCUUCCUCAGCAGUUCUUUGGGUGGCAGUGCUGAAUGGGUGGAGCCAUCCCCUGCUCUCUGACACAGCCCCCGAGGCCAGGAGGCGCUGCAGCCGCUGCACCGCCCACAGCGAACAAGCCGCCAUGUUCUAGAGUCUUGACACUAGGUCUUAGUUGUCCAAGAUAGCCUUGAUUUUUGGGAUCCUGCCUCAGACUCCAGAGUACUGGGUUUAUAGACAUAUAUACUACCUUAUCAGGCAGAACUUGAGCUGAAUCUCUCAGGGGAGGUAGAAACUGGGCUGGUAGAGAGCAGGUAAGUGCAAAGGAUGUGUUAUGAUAUAGAGUUGAUUGGGUGGGGUGUGUGAGGACAGGGGCUGCUGACUUCAUUUUUAUAUUCUCUGAACUCAUGUAGGACCUGGCACCAUAAAAGAACUCUACAAAUAUUUGCUGAAAUUGAGCAAUAGCUUUCCAACCCUGUAGCUUGGUCUGAUAGGACAGGAAGUUUGUGAAAAAUCAGCCUAUUAAAAGAAAGACAAAUCUUACUGAUAAAUAGCCGUGUGUUCACGCAGAGCCUCACCGAGGCUGCCCCAGUUCAUUCUGUGUUGAGGCUGCUGCUGGAUCUUCCUUAGGGCUCCUCAGGGCUCCUCAGUCUGUCGGCCCCCUACACCUCCAGGCCCCGGCUGCUAGGCAGUUCCAUCUGUCCGACAUUCUCUUUCUACCAUAGGUCAGGUCAGUCUUUCAGGUUUGUUCAUAUAAAACACUCUUAAGACAAAUAGAAUUUUGAAUUGGGUUCCUUCAGUAGCCAGAAGCUCCGAGGGCAGGAAAACAUCUGCUUUUGUUGCUCCUGUGCUCAGUGGGUUGUGAGUUGAAGGCCAGCCUAUGAUACAUAGUGAGUUCUUUUUUUUUUUUAAUUUUCAUAAUGAUUUUAUAUUGCAAUGAAAAUAUUAUGGAUAUACUUGGCUAAAAAUACUAAGUUUACCCUUUUUUGGACCACUUUUUGGAAUGAUUAUGGGAACACAUUCAAUC